AAAAUUUUUGUUCAUCCUUUCUCAUCUUCAUUUAGCCGAAACUAGAAAGAAAAAAACAAAGAAAAAAAAUGCUCAUCCUUUGGUUCAUCCUUGGCCAAAAAUUUUAAGGAGGAAGAAGAAGAAAGGUGAAGAGAUUCGGCCAUGCAUGUAGCUAGGCUAAGGUAUGUUGAUGAUGUUCCAUGAGAUGCAUGCAUGUUUUAGUUGUUAGCUUGAGUUCUACCUAGCCCAUGGUCUAAAUCUUGCUAUGUGAUGGAAAUGACAUUUGACCAUGGAUGCAUCAUUCUUGGUUGAUGUUUGAUGUGGUGGUGAUGAGGCAAGAGGAUGAGUUAAAAUUCGGCCUAGGUGGAGGUUGUGUUAAUGCCAUUGCAUGCUAAAUAUGAAGUUUGUUAAUGAUGCAUGUGAUGAUGACUUGAUGAUUCUUGAACCUCCUUUUUAGCAUUUUUGUGUGAGCACAUAUGUGCAUUGGUUGCUAAAUGGAGAAGAAUCGGCUAGCAAGUUGUGUGCUAAGGCCGAAUGUAACUUUGCAUGUUAAUGAGCAAUGCAUGUGUUAAAUUGAUGGAAAGGGGGAGGAUGCUUUACUAGUGUGUAUAUGUGUGUAUUAAGUGUUGAAAUCGACCCCAAAAAUAGACAUGCAUAUUCGGCCAAGGGGGAAAAAAACUAGCUAAUAUGUUGUGUUGAUGCAUGAUUUCACAUGUAUGUGACUUUGAUGUCUAAUGUAUAAAUAUGGGCUAAGUGCUUCGUGUUCAUCUUUUUGAUGCCUAAAUGAUGAAAUCAAUUUAUUUGUUGAAUUAAGCUCAAGAGCAAAGGGGAAAUAGAUCCGAUAAAGGGAAGGAAAAAGUGGUCGAAUAGUUAGCGAAAUCGUUCGACAACACCCGAGGUAAGUUCUUGAGUAAGAGAGCUUAAAUUACGAUGUGAUUAAAUCAUGUUUUAAGCAAAUUAAAAUCAUGCUCUAUGUGUGGCUAUUGAGCCGAAUGUGCAAGGAUGGUAUGUGCCUUGUGUUUGAGUUUUGCUAAUGAAAAAGAAAUACGAAUGUGCCAUGAAUUAUUGUUAGAUGUGCAUGAUUAAUUGAAUGCUGUCCGGGCUAAGUCCCGAAGGCUUUGUGCUAAGUGACUAUAUCCGGACUAAGAUCCGAAGGUAUUUGUGCGAGUUAUUAAUUCCGGGUUAAGUCCCGAAGGCCUUUGUGCGAGAUACUAAGUCCGGGUUAAGUCCCGAAGGCAUUCGUGCGAGUUUUAAAAUCCGGGUUAAGUCCCGAAGGCAUUGAAUGAGUUACUAUAACCGGGCUAUGUCCCGAAGGCACUUGAACGAGGAGCUAAAUCCGGUUAAAUUCCGAAGGUACGUGAUUUUGGUAAUGAAUGAGCUUGCUGUAAAAUUCCAGCUAAUACUCGAAAAACAUCCCAAUAUUGGGAUAUGUUACGUAUGUGUUGAAUUUAAUCGAGCCCUUACAAAUAAGUAUUCGCUCAGUUGAUAAACGAGCUACCGGCCUUUGGCUGAGUUGAUCUUUUGUGUAUGUACAUAAGGGUUGAUAAUGUGAAGCAAGUACGAUAUCGUAAAUUUGUGCAUAUGAAAUUAUCCGUUUAGCUAUAUGAAUGCUAUACUUUUGUUGUGCUGGAAUUCCUUGCUCAAAACUUACUAAGCAUAAAUUGCUUACUCCGUUUCAUUGCUCCUCUGUUUUAUAGAUUUGGUUCUCCAGCUAUCGGACUCGGGAUCUUGAAUUC
rnacentral:lncRNA from 1 species